rnacentral:tRNA from 1 species
GGUCUUAUAUUCAUUGAAUGAUAUCAAAAUGCAAUUUUGAAGGUGUUAUUUAAACUAAGACUU